rnacentral:lncRNA from 1 species
UGAGGUGUACAGGCCUCUCUGAGUUCACCAGGUUUCCAGGUGUCCAGGUCUCUGUGAGGUAACCAGGUCUUUGUGAGGUGACCAGGCCUCUCUGAGUUCACCAGGUCUCUUUGAAUUGACCAGUCCUCUGUAAGGUGGAGGCGUACCUUCUUCCCCAGCUGCUGUUCUGUUCCAAAGGACGAUGCUGGCAAGUCCCAAACCCUCUCCAGCUAUCAUGAUGAACACCUUGCAGAAGAAAGAAGUCUGGAGCAGAGAAAGAUGACUGGAUGGGGCAGCUGGGAAGGGCUCUUACCACCAAGUCAUAAGGCCCAACUUUGAUCCCUAAAGCUCACACAGCAAAGGAGUGGGACAGCUCCUGAAAGCUACCCUCUGACCUCCACCUUAUGCCUCCUUCACAAAGAAACAAAUCAAGAUAAAUAAAUAAAUGUAUGCAGUUUAAAAAAAAAAAAAAAAG